rnacentral:misc_RNA from 1 species
GAGAGGGCCCUGGGAAUGAGGUUGCUGGUUAUAGACAUUUAGUUUUGAAGCCUCAGCUUUAUUUACCCAGCUUUAAUGGAUUCAGGACGGCUGAUUCUGUCACUCUGGUAGCGGCAAAUGGGGGUAUAAAGAAAGUCUCGGGCUGCAUCUAACUAAGCAGUUNGUUAGGAGUAUUCGAAAUCCAAAUAAUCAAUGAGUCACGUCUGUGUGAUGUUAUUUUCUAACUCAUCUCUCACAAGGGGCAACCAAUUAAGCAAGGCCUAAAGUUUGAUGACAUUGGAUGCUCAAAAGUUUGCGAGAUGCUGAUGGCAGAAGAACAUGAACAAAGUGAGACUUAAGAGCUUAAGUAAUAUAUACAGUAUGAGUGGCCGUGUUGUAUCCGAUAUACAAACUCGAGGCGUAGCCGAGAGUUCGUAUAUCGGAUACAACACGGACACGAAUACUGUAGAUUGCCUAUC